GCAGUCGCCACGGUAAUACAGAGGGUGCGAGCGUUAAUCGGAUUUACUGGGCGUAAAGCGUGCGUAGGCGGCUUCUUAAGUCGGAUGUGAAAUCCCUGAGCUUAACUUAGGAAUUGCAUUCGAUACUGGGAAGCUAGAGUAUGGGAGAGGAUGGUAGAAUUCCAGGUGUAGCGGUGAAAUGCGUAGAGAUCUGGAGGAAUACCGAUGGCGAAGGCAGCCAUCUGGCCUAAUACUGACGCUGAGGUACGAAAGCAUGGGGAGCAAACAGGAUUAGAUACCCCUGUAGUCCCUGUCUCUUAUAC
rnacentral:rRNA from 1 species